rnacentral:pre_miRNA from 1 species
UGGAAGACUAGUGAUUUUGUUGUUCUGACUUAUAAUUUAGACAACAAAUCGUAGCCUGCCGCC